GAUGAACGCUGGCGGCGUGCCUAAUACAUGCAAGUCGAGCGAACAGACGAGGAGCUUGCUCCUCUGACGUUAGCGGCGGACGGGUGAGUAACACGUGGAUAACCUACCUAUAAGACUGGGAUAACUUCGGGAAACCGGAGCUAAUACCGGAUAAUAUAUUGAACCGCAUGGUUCAAUAGUGAAAGACGGUUUUGCUGUCACUUAUAGAUGGAUCCGCGCCGCAUUAGCUAGUUGGUAAGGUAACGGCUUACCAAGGCAACGAUGCGUAGCCGACCUGAGAGGGUGUUCGGCCACACUGGAACUGAGACACGGUCCAGACUCCUACGGGAGGCAGCAGUAGGGAAUCUUCCGCAAUGGGCGAAAUCCUGACGGAGCAACGCCGCGUGAUUGAUGAAGGUCUUCGGAUCGUAAAACUCUGUUAUUAGGGAAGAACAAAUGUGUAAGUAACUAGGCACGUCUUGACGGUACCUAAUCAGAAAGCCACGGCUAACUACGUG
rnacentral:rRNA from 1 species